rnacentral:rRNA from 1 species
CCUACGGGAGGCAGCAGUAGGGAAUUUUCGUCAAUGGGCGCAAGCCUGAACGAGCGACGCCGCGUGAGUGAAGAAGGCCUUCGGGUCGUAAAGCUCUGUUGCGGGGGAAAAAGGCAGCCUCUGGAAAUGGGUGCUGACUGAUGGUGCCCCGCCAGAAAGUCACGGCCAACUACGUGCCAGCAGCCGCGGUAAUACGUAGGUGGCGGGCGUUAUCCGGAAGUAUUGGGCGUAAAGGGUGCGCAGGCGGUCCUGCAAGUCCGGGGUGAAACGCAGGAGCUCAACGCGUGCAUGGCUUUUGAAACUGGAGGACUGGAGAGCGUGAGAGGGCGGUGGAACUCCAGGUGUAGCAGUAAAAUGCGUAGAUAUAUGGAAGAACACCAGUGGCGAAGGCGACCGCCUGGCCUGUUGCUGACGCUGAGGCACGAAAGCGUGGGGAGCAAAUAGGAUUAGAUACCCGUGUAGUC